GGGGGCGAUCGGUUUCGACCGGGUGACCUGAAGCAAGGGCUGCGUGCCGAGGUUGCCAGGGGGCCUCGUUAACAACCUGGCACCAAAUGCAAGUGCGAAACCUGCACUGAAAAUGGCUGCCUAGAGCGGCCACGCUCCUCCGUUCCUCGCCCACGGGGGCGGAUGCGGGCGACUGCAGUGGGAUAGCCCGAGUGUGCCGCCGCGUCACGCUCGGGUGAAACAAACUCGCGGCUGGCCUGGACCGGACCCUGCCCAGCGGGGCUUGUUCGGGCGACACUCAAAUUGCGGGCUACGCACGUAGAUGCACUUGCCGAUGCGCUACGGGACGGGGGUUCGAUUCCCCCCGCCUCCAAAU
rnacentral:tmRNA from 1 species